rnacentral:rRNA from 1 species
ACUCCUACGGGAGGCAGCAGUGGGAAUAUUGCACAAUGGGCGCAAGCCUGAUGCAGCAACGCCGCGUGAGGGAUGAAGGCCUUCGGGUUGUAAACCUCUUUUAGCAGGGAAGAAGCGAAAGUGACGGUACCUGCAGAAAAACGCACCGGCUAACUACGUGCCAGCAGCCGCGGUAAUACGUAGGGUGCAAGCGUUGUCCGGAAUUAUUGGGCGUAAAGAGCUCGUAGGCGGUUUGUCACGUCUGCUGUGAAAA